AGGUGAGGUAGAGGCGCGGGUUAUCAAGAGUAGUAUACCAGAGGUAUUUAAGGGCCGAUGAAGGUAUAUGAAAGGGAUGCUCGCCGAAGCGCGUAAAUUCCUUAAAGUUUACGCAGCUGGGCCUAUGCCGAAUAGGUAUAGGACUGUCACUGGAGGUUUCCCGAGCCUUCAGUGAAGAGCUAUCUCGCUA
rnacentral:ncRNA from 19 species